rnacentral:lncRNA from 1 species
AGCUUCUGCCCGCGCGGAGAUAAACAAGCACCGCGACCGCCGAGCAGCGCCGAACCCAGCGCGCCCAGUCAGACCCCAGGGCCUGUGUACCGAGCAUGCGCAGUUCCCGCCCAAGCCAGGAGCAGCGUCAACCUGAGACUCCCGAGACAUUAAGAAUUCGGAAGGGAUGAGAUGGUAGAGGGGCUAGAGCUACCUCCAAGCUUUAUCCUGAGGCGGGGAGUGAAGGAGAGAUGCCCAAGGCCCAAGAGGGGCCGCGAGGGCCUUUGUCCGAUGCCACCCAGUCUGUCAGCACUCCUAGAGCUUUGGUUUUAUCUUGUAUUAGCAUGUGAAGCUUUAAGGGGGGGGCACCUACAGGCUUCUGACUGAAGUUGUGUAAACGCAACAAAAUGAAGCUUUGGAGCGUUAGGACAUUGAUGGGAGGGUGACGCCCCCCUCUAGCAGCGCGCCAGAGGGGCGAGUCAGAGGCGGCCACACACCACGGAAGUCGGGUCCAAGCCCGCUGACGUCGCCGGGGUCCCGCCCACCAACCCUCUGGACCCGCCCACAUUUCUUCUAGACCCGCCCCUUUCGGUGCCGAACUGAAGUCGAGCUCUUCCCACGCCCUGUCAGCCACGGGUGAGUUGAAAACCUGGAGAGCGGAAUCCCGAACGGCAGCCGGAAGGCCCUGGACUCCUCAUAGCAACAGCCAGCUAGGGGCAUCUAGUGGGAAGCUGGGAUUCAUUCUAGCCAACCACAUCACGUCUCUGUACCACAAGGUACCAUUCACGACCAAUAAGAGAGCGCCCCCAUACCACGUGCCUUUACUCCUUCAACCAAUCGAGAAAAACGCUAGUCGUAGGAUCCGCAAGCCCACCUCCCAGUGCCUUGCCAGGCGGGGCUCUUCGCGCACGCUCUGCCAACCAAUCGUAGGUGAGCUGGCGAGUGACGGAAGCUUCGGCCAAGCCAACCAGAGCUCGCGAGCCCCUUGCCACCGAGGCCGGCGGGAUGGAGACAGGGACCGGCUGCUGGGGUUUGGGAGGGGCAGAGAUUGAGGAGCCAGUUGCUGUGCCCUGUUCUGGCAAAAGAACAAGAUGCGUUGCAAGCCAGAAUGAUGAAUUCCACUUUUCACGUCGCCUCCGUGGCAUUCUGCCUAAAUGAUGGGCAUGGAAAUGGUGCUGAGGGAUGUGGGCUGAAUCGAGAACACAGGGACUUUUGUCUUCAGGGUGAGAAAUGUUCCGGUCCUUAAGGAAACAUCGUGCAGCAGUUGCAUGGGUCUUCCAGGCGUUCCUCCCAAAACAUUAUUUUUUUUCUUUCACUAUUGAGUUUUAAAACUUAGCGUUCUGUCGCUAGCAUUGCAUCUUAGUUACACAUCCUCUCCCACCCAUAACGUCAAAUUUAGGAGACGAUACAUCCCCAAGCUUUCCUGCAUUAUUUUUUGCAGUAACUGGUUAUUCAGUUUACUUUCUUUAAACUAUGUCCUUCUCAAACUAGUCUCACCUGUUCGUUACUGUCGCACAUUUCCUGCGAAUAACACGUUUCUGUAGUUCUGUUGUUAGAGCCUGGCAUACCUCUCCCCGUUCCUCUUUCCCACAAGGUCAUCAUGCAGAGGGGAUUUUGGUCUGAGUUAAAAGCCAGGUAUUCUUUCACCAUCUUUUCUGUCGAUAGUCAAACUACUACAAAGACUACUCAAAUUUAGUAGUUUCUUAUUUCCCUAUAGCUUCGUUAUAUUAGAAUGGAUAACUUAUAUUUGCAUUACCUUGCUGUAAUGAACACACACCAAGUUUUCAUUUAAAAUUAUCAAGGACAAAUGUCCUCUGAAUUUAAAAAUGUGUAUGUAGUAAAAUAUAACUCAGCAUUUCUUGAUUACAUAUCAUUAAAAUAUGAAUGGUACUAUCUGAGCCACCAGAAUCAGCAGUGAAGGUAUUAUAUUAAUAAAAAGGACUAAGAAUCAGGACUGUUUUAAGGGAACUGGAACCGAAGAGGAUCUACUAUUUCAUCCUAGGCUAGUUAACAUGAAAUAGUGAAUUAAAAUUGAAAGAGCUUACAUGGAUGCUUCAUAUCUGAGCUACUUUGGCAGGGAUGUUUCAAGAGGAUGUAGGUAAGUAUGGUGUUCACCUAGCUUUCCAGAAGUCUCAUAUUUUGUGUAAAAUUGGUAUGCUUAUUCAUGGUUACUUUGGGUUAGUAGAAGCUAUACUUCUUUUCCAAGGAAAGACAGACUGUCUUAAGAUUCUAACUGUGCAUCUUGGUGAUAAGAAGUUCUUAGGGUUGUUAAAUAGAGCCAGGAAGCGUGAAGCUUUCUCUCUAGAUCAUGACAACUCAUCUAGUACCUUGCAUUACAAAGGAGCUCUAAGUCCAUUUACUUUGCAAGGAAUGAAGUUCCAGUGAUUAAUGUUUUUGAGAAAUUUGUAUUGGGAUUGUGGGGUCCAGAAGGUUGCCUUAAGUAACUGUUUUCAUGACUCCUAGGUCCCUAGAUGUUGAGAAGCUCUGGAUUGAAGCUGUCACAAAAAUAGUGAGUGGGCUCCGUAGUCACUCCAUUUAGCAUAAUACAGAGUAGGACAGCUUUGUGACAUUUCUCAGGCUAUUUCCCCUGACCUCUCAUCAAUGCUGACGUUUUUGAUAAGAAGGGGUAUAGAGACUGCAGCCCUUGGGGUGGUUACAGUUCAUUUAUUUACAGGCCUUAUAUUGACAGGCCUCAGAUUUCAUGCUCAGUACCAUAAAGGUUGAUUUUUAACCACCAAGAGGCAAAAGAAACAUGACAGGUCGGAGCAUAUUUUCUCACCUAUUCUGGCUUAAAUGAUGGUACUUACCUGAUUUGUGGUUGUAGGUGAAAUGUUGGGUGAAAGAUUAGCUGCUAUAAAAAGGAUGUCAGGACGUGUAGAGAAUUUAGAGGACUUGGGUGGGAGAUGGAUGUCUAUUUUCUAACCCCUUAGUCAUGUUCAUUCCGAUGCCAGCAUAAACUCUAUUUUGAGAUGAUUAUAGAAAUAACUUAUAUCUUCAUUUGUUUGUGGGAAAUAAAAAAUAAAAAUGAUAUAAAAGAAAUUUGAAUUAUUCCCAAGAGCUGUAAAUCUGUAAGAUAGUGAAAACUUAACGCAGUAACUGACACUGCAGGAUCCCUUUAGUUUCCAAAGUGCAUUGCCAGGAGAAUAAAAAGAAAGAAAAUCUUCAUUUCUCCUCUCUCCACUAAAUCUGAAAGGGAGUUAUCUCACCUAUAGCCAGAUACCUUCAAUUAUCGCACUUGUGUUACCGUGGAAACCCAAGUCCAUCCUUUCUUUCUGUAAAAGGUGUUGGAAAAGGUGGUAUGAAGUGGGAAAGGUACUGUAUUCUGGGACUUCCUGACACCAGCAAGAAGCAAAUAUGCAGAUAAUUUAAUAGAAACAAAUUAGUAGAGGAUGUUUGUAAUGCGAGGGGUACUUUUCGACUGUAAAACCCUGAUUCCUAAUGCUUCUUAUUAAAGCCUGCAUGCCUCUGAUUAAACAUAAAGGGGAAGGGCAUGUCAAGUACAUUUAGCACCUGUGAAACGCUGCUGGCAAGUAUAAGGAGAGCAGACGAUGGUUUCUUGACCUGUGAGGCUCCUAAUACAGUUGAGAAUCUGCAGUAUAUAUGUGGAGUGGAAAGGAAGGGGCAAAAUAAACUUUGUUCUUCCUUUAAAAAAUGUGAUAUGUCUCAGUGCUUUUGAAAAGAAAAGGAAUUAGAAUGCAGAAAUUAAGAGUAUGGAAACAACUCAAUAAAAGAAACGUAUGGGUGGAGAGAGUAGAUGUUUCAAAAGGCCAUUUUAAUCAGAAAAAAAAUCUGAAAGAAAAGACGUAAUGAUUAAAAUGUAGGCAGAAAAAAGAAAAAGCCUGAAGAAUCUUAAGAGCUAGAGGAUUCUGCGGAAAACAGAGCUUCAGUGUGGUUCAUUUAACAAAGCAGAAGAGCAGGCACAGUGUUGCUUGCGUACCCAGCAGUUUCCCUUUAUUUUUGCCAAAGAAGCUGGGAUGAAUCAGGAUUGGACUUUAAUAGCAUUGCUUUCCCUCUGCCCACGGUUAGUCCAAAAGUAGGCACGUGACUCAGUUCUUGUCAUUGGAAUGGGGAGAAGGCUGCUAGGGCUGGAGGGAUUUCUAGGAUAUUGACAAGAGUGAGGAAAUAUCCCCGUUUUCUGAUGUCGCUCUCUUUGCUUCCUGCUUUACACAUUGAAAUAUGAGAAUGUGGCCUCCAUUUGGGGGCUAUGAUGCAUUAUGACAUUAUGGUGCAAUACUGUAGAAAGCCAGCAACUUCGGAUGGCCAGGGAGGAGGAUGGGAAGAACCUAGGUCCUGCAUGACAACAUUGGACAGUCAAACCAACAUUAGAACUGCCCACAUUUGGACUUAUGGCUAAGUAAACAGCUGGUGUCUUUCAAUUUAAGUGUGUGUUGGUAAGGUUUUCUGCAUCUUACAGCAAAAUACAUCCCACCUGUUAACAAAAAGUAUGAGGGAUUCCAGCCAAAAUCGGGCUUUAAAAAAUCAGCAAGCAUUUGUGAGCACUUUCAUUUCACUAAUAUCUGAACGAUAGUUCAAAGAUACUAUAAUAUUAAUUGAGUAAUUACUGUGUAUAUUUUUUAGGCUCUGGGGAUAAAACAAUAAGCAAUUAGCCAAAAGAGCUUGUAUUCUAGCAGGAGAGACAGAUAUUAAGCAACCAAUUACAUGUUUAUAUUAUAAAAUAAUGGUUAUGCUUAAAACUAAUAAGGAAAAAUCAGGAAUUAGAAAGGGUAUAUAGUAAUUAUAUAAAUAAUAAAAUAUUACAAAAUAUAUAACUAAAUAACUGAAUGAAAUUACAAAAACAAACACUUUCCAAGUAAAUGAGAAUGAAAUGUAUAGUUUUUACUGACAUUCCCAGAGGUCGAGAGAAACAGUAAAUUGGAGUAGGUUAGUCCAGGAGAGUUGUCUGAAGCAAAUUAAUAUUGUAUCAGGUUUUGAAGGAAGUGGCGAAAGGACAGGCUAGAUGGGGCAGAAGAGAGCACUCUAGAUGUAAGGAACCAGAAGAGCAAAGGAAGAAAGCAGGAAUGAAGUAAGAGUGAAUGAGGGAAAUACCAGAAUCACUUGAUUUUUUAAAUUCCCUGUAGCAACAGCAUUCUAGGGGCAUCUCUCAGAGAAAAAGACAGAAAGAUGCCAGAAGUCUCAAAGCAAGAUUAUUUAAAGGUAUAAAAAUAAUAUAGGAGAAAAAUACAGAAGACAAAGUAGGAGUACAAGAGUGCAUUUGAAAUUAAGGCGUCAUUCAAAAUAAUGAAUAAUUUAUAAUGUGGGCGUCAAAAGAGUUGUCAUAAGAAGUAAUUAUGGAUUUAAGGGCAUCAAGAAGGAGGGAUUCAAACUUUCACAAAUAGAAAUAGAAGGAAACAUGAGGAGUGGCAAAAAAUGAAGACAGGUAGAAAAACAGUUUUUGCUUGUUAUUUUUCCAUGAUAGCUGUUAUUGACAUGCAUUAUGUAGAAAUGAAUGGAAUUUGUUUGAAAAGAAAAAUUUCAAUAGAGCAGUAAUACAUAAAGGUAGGCUUUUUGGUAAAUAGUGUAAUUUAAAAUGUUUUCACUAGAAUGCCUUUUUGUACCUUCCUGUAGGAAAAUCUUUUCAACAAAAAAAGCUGUAAGUCAUAAUAAGUUACAGAUUAGCAAAGCAUUUUUGAAAUAAAAAAAAACCCAUAGAUGUGCCAAAUGUAAUAGUAGAGCAACAAUAAUAAAUAUUUGUAAUAAAAAUCAGAACUUGUUAGGCAUUAUGUGGUUUCUGGUCAAAUAUGGUUGUACUAAUUUUUCUAAUGCUAUUUUCUGUACAAAUAUAAGAAUUUUUUAAAUUAAGCUAUGGUAGGUAUAUGAACACAUCUUGAUAUUACUGGAGGUAGGAUUUACCACUCACUUUUUGUGACCCCAAGUGUAACCCUGAACAGACUUCUGUCUUAACACCAAUAACACAUGAUUGCACUGUCUUCUCCAGUGACUGGGGAAAGGGACAGUGCUUUGUUCAUUUUUGCUUUACCAGCAUUCAGCACAUCGCCUAAAAACAAUUGUGGGAAUUCAUAAAAUGUUUGUAAAUAAAUGAGCAAUUGAGUGGACUAUAAUGUUGCUUCUAAAAACCCUGGGUUUUGAACACAGAGAAGAUGAGAAUAAAAGGAAAGGAAUAAGGAUUUUCCCCAAAUCAAGGUGAGGUUGAUGUAAAUGUCCUCCAAAGUUGGUCUAAUCUCCAAAGAAGCUUGUAUCUCAAAAACAGUAAGUCUCCAACAGGCAAAGUCAAUGGCAGUUUGUAGACCUGGAAUUUAGGAGUGCCAGGAAAGAUCUGAAAAAUCAUGUCUUCUAUCAACUGACUGUUGUCUGAAAUUCUGCACUUAGGUUUUAGUCUUUUGAUGUAAAAGUUAUUUUUUUCCAAUUAAAAUGUAAGUAGGAGAUAUACAGUUAAAUUGUACCAUCAGUCUGUCAACUUCGGGGCAUGCAACUAUGCUUACCUGGAUGAAAAAGAAAAUGAAGAAAGUAAAAUAGAAGAACGUAGUUUAAAUUGGGGGAUAAGUCAUGGCAUGAGUAUGUGCCCAGAGCGAGUAUAAGAAGGCCAUGGAAAUCCACUGUAUUUUUGUCAUACACUUAUUAAUUUGUUUCAAUAAGGUUAAUCACUCCACAUGGUGUAACAAGAAAAAUAACAGCCUUUACAAUUACUAGAUUCUUAAACUUAUUUCAAAUACUUUUUAAUUUUUAUGAGAUUAUAAGAAUUUUUUAAACUUUGAAGCUGCAUGCCUUGUCUGAUUCCUUCCAUUUCUCUUCUGCUUCUCACAUUAUUGUGUUCAGCAAUGGUUUGGAGGCAUCUUGGGGAAGACAGAGCAGAGUUAUGGUGUAAGGACCAUCCAACUCUUCUCAGCAGCCAUCCAGUUAUCUUGUCAAGGGAAGUUACUCAUCCUGCUCUCUAGAAUUAUCUCCUCAAAAAUCGGUUUCCUGCUUUUCACAGAACAGUACACCAUCUUUUACUAUUAUCCUAAUUAAUGCUUCUCACACAGCCUUACAAAAUAUUAGUCACUUAAUUAUUAACCACAUUCAUUGGGCUGCACUAGUUGAAAAAGAUGUCUUGUUUACUUAGUCAAAGCGCUGUCUCUGUGCAAUGGCAUUGAUGGUGAAAUUGAUCAGAGUCUACGUUUGAAUGAGAGAAGCUGAGGGAGACAUUUCAGAAAUAGUAAGCCUUUUUAUUUCCUUGGUGUACCAGGUAGUCAAGGAAAGUUAAAGUAUUUUUUUAUACUUUGUCUUGAUUACAUUCUUUUGGGGACUGGUCUCUGGUGUUAGGUUUUUAAUAAAGAUUUUGGCCAUUUUCCAUGCAAACUAAUGUUUCCAAUGAAAAGAUACAACAUUGCAUGUAAAUUACCUAAGAAAUAUUAAUCUGUCAAUGUAAUUAAAUUAUAUAAGCAACAAUUAGUUUCAAAGCUGGAAUGGAUUAAGUCAGUUCUAUACUGCACACUGACAAAGUGAAAGGAACUAAAAUGGACAAAUUGUGGUGCUGUAAGGUUAUGAUUCUUAAGAUUUUUAUAUUAAAGUUGCAGAGUUUCAAAGUGCUCAGUGCUGCUCUUUACAUUAGGGCUGUAGACUCUCUUAAGCCCGAGGAUUCUAUCUGGAUAUGUGAUUGAUAGGGUGGAGGCUGGGCUGAGGCUUAGUAAGACAUUUAACCAUGCUUUGUAUAAUACUCCUUAAAUGUUGGCUCUCACAAACAUAGAAAUAGCGAACAUUAACUAGCUCUCUGUUUCAAUGUCUACCAUCUACCUGUCAACUUAAAAUCAUGAAAUCUAUAAAUUUGGAGAGGAGAGCUUUAUUUCUUACCAAGAGUUGCAGCCAGCAGGGUGGCCAUCCUAACUGGCUGGGAAGUGUAACCUCAGGCAGAGACCAAAAGCAAGUUAUUCAAGGGAGGAUGAGAUAGGAAUUUAUGCUGAAUGGAUUGGCCAAGUAUAUUUAUUUAACAGAUUGUAGGAGGAGCUAUACAUAUCCAUGAAGAGGGGGCAUGUGCAUGAAUAGUAAGCAAACAUGGAUGUUACAUGCAUCCCUUGUUCACUUUGGGGUGCAGACUUCACAUUUAAAUGCAUUCCAAUUAAGCCCUAUAUGUCAAAAGGUGAAGCAGGGACAGGAAGGCACUCAGUGCUCAGCCUCUGUAAACCAGACAGAACCAGAAGAUGGUCAGUGGUCUCUUAUCAGGAGAAAGUUACUGAAAUCAGUCUUUUAUCCAAUCAAAGCUGUAGCUGUGGCUUGUGGAACAGAGGGGUCAGUUAGUCAGCAUCUGGUGCUCAGUGAGCUACGAUUGUUUCAAUACUGCUUAUCUUGAGGCCAGUGCUUGUUUAGCUGCUAGAGAAUAAGAAAAACCUGUGGCAAUUAGAGCAUAGUUUAUUCUAUAAGGGUAGGGGUACGUGACUUCAGCUUUUUCUGGCAUGGCCUUAGGUCUCAUUUAUUAUUUGGUACUUUAUUGCCACAAGGAGUCUGUUCCAUUAGUCUUAUGAUCUCUAUUUUAACAUAUCUAUUUUGUUUUUUUCCUCCACUUGAUUCCAGAAGGACUAAAGUACAUUUCAUAAAUACAUACAAGAUAAAUAAAAAUAAGAAAACCUUCAAUAAAAAUGAUCUAUAUUAAUACAUUUCCAGUUUUAGGGUCAAAUAGAUUGUUUCAAGAAACCUUAACAUUAUCUAUUCAAAAUAAGUUUUUUCAGAAACUGUGUUGCACAUUGGUGUACAUCUCUUUAAAUAGAUUUCACCUUGGCAUUCACACUUUGUCUGGCUCUGUGUGUGUUAGGGUUGGGGUAGGGGGAGCAUUGUUAAUGCCCAAAUCCUUCCCAAGUCUCAUCAGUGAAUAGUCUGGGGGAAGGAGGGUUGGGAAUGUGUAUAUUGAACAAAAUCCUCUAAAUGAUUCUGACUUGCCUCUGGGUUGAAAAUCAAUUUAACAAUACUAUGUGUUUUCUGAAGUAAAAGUCACACUUAAAGUAACUGGUGAUCUUGGAAAUUUUUACCAAGGAUACUGACUAAUGAGAUGGCCUACCCCAAAUCCAGAAUUUAACUUAAAUUCCACCUCCCCCUGUUUUCCUUAAACUAAUCUCUCACCAUAUUUUCCAAAAAUGUUAUACUUUUCUUCUCAUAUGUACUGCAAUUUGUCUUGCAUUGUAUUUAUCUUUGUGAUUUCAGCUAGUAUAUGGACUCAUGGAUGUCUGAUGGGGAGGAGGGUGGAGAAUCUAUAAGUUUUUUCAUCUUUCUAAUCUUUAUUAUGCUUUAGUCAAUAGUAUAUAUUCAAUAAAUGCUGAAUGAAUUGGAUUAAAUAUAAAACAUUAAAUGUUAUGAAAAGUAUGCUUAAUUUUCAAAUUAUCAAAUGAUUCUCUCUAUUGAAGGGAAAUCAAUGGUGUUUUUCAACUUUGAACUGAAACUCUAAACUAUAUGAAAUCAUAACAAUGUGAAAUUUUAAACAGUAUUAUUCUUCAUAAAACAGUAAUAUAGGCUUUAAUUCACAAGAACUGCAAUGGGGUCUCAUCCUUUAAGCAGUCAUUUUUAAUGUUCUAACCAAAUCCUUAUACUAAAACAGAAACAACUGCUGAAUGUGAUAAAGUAAUGGAAAAUAUAGAAAAACUCCCAUUUUCUCUAUCUCAUUGUGUGUGAAAUCAUUCUUAAAAAGAAUCACUUCCACUUCUAUUUGAAUCAAAAAUAGCCAAUAGGGCAAUUCUAACUGGUUAAAAAAAAAAAAAAAACCAACGAGAAUAAAACAAAUCACCAAGGCAAACGAGUUUUAAAAGAUAUGAGUCAUCAAGGUUAAAAAAAAUUAGAAAAAUAUAUAAAAACUUACACAUGUCCUUGAUAUAGUUUUGUCUUGUGUCCCCUUAAAAUUUCAGUAGCUUUUCUUGUUGCUUAGAAAUCAAGGACAUCUGAUUGGCAGGACUUUGACAAGCUGCCUAAAGGAAACUAUGAUGUUUUCAGUCCCCAUAUUAAAGACCCCCUUUUACAUUCCAGCUGAGGGCUGGUAUAGGCAGGAUAGGAAAGCUUACAGAUGGUGGGAGGCACAGAACCUUCAUAGGGGCUGAGGCAAGAAUAUCCAGAAGACAGGAGAGAGAAUGAAAGAUGCCAGCCGCCUCAUUGUGAGUUCACAGUGGCUGCCUUGGUCGGGAGCUUUUGGCAUGGUUCUCAUGAAUUACACAAUCUAAUCUACUUCUGUACAGAAGAUUUUAGAGGCACAGUUGAGUGUGCUAAAAUGGCAUUACUACCUACUCAGAACAUGAUGCUUCUGUGUGCCCAUAUGCCCAACUUAUUUUCAAAUGUAUUUGAGAAAAAUAGAAAAUAGGCAUUCUUAGUACUAGAGACAUACAAUAAAAAUGCGCAUGACUCUAUCCAUUUGUAGGUUUCUUGGGAGUUUUAUCAGGCUCCAGGGGACCCAUGUUUGUAGCACAUGAGUUCUCUGGUCGUAGAUCGUUGAUGUGGUCAUUGGCACACGGUGCCUAGCUCAUGAGCCAGUAAGAUUUGUUUCCUCCUAGGAAUUUAGAACUGGAGUCCAGAGGGUGGGGCUGGGCAUUUGAACUAGGAAGUAAGGAAAGCCACACUGGGAAAGCCUUUGAUGGGCUGUGUGUACAACUCAGCGGAAAUGCCAAUAUACAGAGAAAUGUCAAAGAAUAAAGUCGAUUCUUAGAGAAGUAGUGAUGGCUCACUUAGUUCCUGAGAGCUUUCCUACUCAUGAGGAGAUCCAAUUGCAUUUUCUACCAUUGGCAUUGAGAUCCCCGCCUCUACCCCAACAUUACACUAAAUUUUCCUUUAAGUUAGUAUCAGUGGUUUUCUGGUUUUCUAUUACAACCAGAAGGUUCCUGAAAAAGACAAAAUUAUCCUGUUAGAUCAUGUUCUCUUAUAUCUCUGUUAGAAGUACAUUGGAAAUGAACAGCAUUCUAUUGUCAGUUUGUCAGCAUUAAUUAUAAAGUAUGGCCCAAUAAUUUUUCAGAACCUAAUUGCAUAUAGCUGAUGACAGUGGCUUCUGGAGCUGUUUUAUGAUAGUGUUAGUUAGAGAGUCCUGCCAGAUUCCCUGGAGGAGAUAGUUUGUCCUUUCUGUAAUGUUGGAAAUAAUGUCUCUCGUGCAGGUUUAAUAACAAGAUGCAGUGCAAAAGCUCCAGGCACUAGCCAGGUCAUGUGACAUGAGGCUUGGGAUCAGCUUAUCUCACAAACCCAGACAUAGAACCCCGUGCCAGCCCCACAACAAGUGGACAAUCCAGGAGGAUUUGAGUAUUUCCUCAGCUAUUCAACAAAUACAGAGAGGUGGUUUGCUUCAAUAACAAUAAAUAGUUAUUUAUUGUUGUCCUUAUGCAACAACAAUUCUCCAGUUGUCAUCUGGAGAAACUGAAAAGUAAUAUGAAAUCAUCUAGUUCCUCUUUAAGACAGUACUUGGGAUCCUGUGAAUGCAAGGAUUUCCUUAUUGUCCUACCUGCAGGGAGGGGCAUUCAGGGCUUCUGGAUCAUAGCCUCGGUCACAUUUUAAAACUUGACAUAAUGUCUAAAAUAGCUGUAUUUAUAUUUUAAAUUAACUUGAAAAUGAAACUGCUAGACCAUAUAAUUUACCUACUAAAUUUGGACACUUUUGAGAGUAAAACGGGAUGCUAUUAAUAAUAAAAUGAAAGCAGGCCUUGGAACUGACCCAGGCAAACUGGAUGAUAGUAUUACCCUAUUCUUAGGUUUUGCAUUCUUGGUUUGUGAGUAACUCACAUAUUGGGAAGCCCAACAAUUUUUGGCACGGUUUUUGACCAAAUCAAAUUUUAGCCGCCAUUUUGGAGUAUGGCCCACGAUCCCACCACGAGUCACUAGCUAUAGAAAUGAGCUUCUCUAGGGCUUCAGCUUCUUCACCUUUACAAUUGAAUGGGUAACUCCAAAUCCCUUUCAGCACUGAAUAGUCCGUAAUCAAUGACACAUCUAUGAAAGAGUUUUACUUUUUGGAGAAAUUUGUAUUAUUUUGAUUCAUAUUCAAUAUAAGAUACAGAAUAUGAAUAUCCAUAAAAGAAUAUUAUGAAUAAGGUUUGUACACAUUAUAAAAUCAUACUGGGCAGCAUGGCGUAGCAACAAACACCUGGACUGGAAUCUAGCCACUUAUUUCCUCUGUGAAUUUGCCGAGGUUUCCAAACCAUCCUGGAUGCCUAAACUGGAAUACUUUCAACUGUAAAAUGGGCGUAAGAAUAACAACUUUUUAGUAAUGUUAUGAGAAUUAAGUGAUAUGUAGUGUGUGAAGGUAUCAAAUAUAUACCACAUAAAUAGAUGUAUAUGAUCAUUAAAUACUAGUUCCUCUUCCUAUUAGAAGGUUAGUGUCAUUAUUGAAUAUUUAGGUCAUAAAUGUGCACUGCACCUUCUUAUAACUAAAGUAAGAAUAUUGCCAAUGAGUUUCUCUAUUCCCAAUAUUGGCUUUUAUUGACACAGAGAGCAAUUACGUCGGAUGGAAGCACAUCCAUGAUUACAGGCAUCAUCAAAGUCAAACACACCUGGACCCAAAAGCCCUCUUUCUUCUUUUAGAUAUAUGACAUUGGGAGGUUACUUAGGCUUACAGAGUCUCUCUUCCCUUAUCUGCAACAAUGAAUGAGAUAAUGUGUAUAGAUCACGUGGCACAGGUCCUAGUGUAUAUUCAAUAAUAUGCAUUAUUGUUACUCAUUAUUGUUAAUAUGGGAGAAGAGAAAUUAAAAGUCUCCAUUUAAAGGUGAGAGAGAUGUUUCCAUAAGAAGAGCUUAUAGUGCAUGUGGACUUCAGAAGUGACUAUAAGUGAAGAAUAAUAGUUGAGAAAGCAAACCCAUGAGCAUGUCGUGGGUUUAGCAUUAUGCUAAACAGCAGCAUUGUGCUAUUCCCACUGAGAAUAAUGUCUUUCAUGGACAUUGUGGAACGAUUAUGGACUGGUCAUGAUACUAUGACUCCUGAGAAUUCUAACACCUUCAGAUUCACAGUAGGGCUGCAGAUGUGUUUUACCCAUCCAGGGCUCCUGACAGUGAAAUCAAAGGCUUGGAUUGAUAAACUCUGCGAACAAUGUGUAUUAGUCCGUUUUCACACUGGUGAUAAAGACAUACCCAAAACUGGGCAAUUUACAAAGGAGAGAAGUUUAAUGGACCCACUGUUCCACUUGGCUGGGGAGGCCUCACAAUUAUGGUGGAAGGUGAAAGGCACGUCUCACAGGUGGCAGAUGAGAAAAGUGAGAGCCAAGUAAAAGGGGUUUCCUCUUAUAAAACCAUUAGGUCUCAUGAGACUUAUUCACUACCACGAGAACAGUAUGGGGGAAACCACCCCCAUGAUUCAAUUAUCUCUCACUGUGUCCCUCCCACAACAUGAGGGAAUUGUGGGAACUAUAAUUCGAGAUGAGAUUUGGGCGGGGACACAGCCAAAUCAUAUCACAAUGUUAAGUUGCUCUUAAUCGUUUUAUUGAUGAAGUACAACAGGUUGAUUAGUAAUACAACAGUUUUAUCUGAGCCUCACUUAUCUGUUUUGUAAAUGUUAUUUUGGAGAAAGCCACUCCUACAAUUUGUUUAUAAGAAGUCUAGCAUGGAGUAUUGGUGAUCACAUUUAGAGAAUUAUAACUGUGAUAUUAAUGAAGACUGACAAUGUGGAUGAUGACGAUCCAAUUCAUGUGCAUCAGAAAAAAAAAAAUCACAACUUGAUUUUUCUACCUGCUUUGUUUCAAUUAAUCCUAAUUUUUAGAAAACAGACAAAUGCAAGACCCAGACAAGGGUCUUUGCUUAGUAAAGAUUUGGAAUUUUCUCAUGCCAAGAGAUCCUUUUCUGAGGCCUUUUCCAAUUGAAUCCAAAGUUUGCCAUCCAAUUCUUCCAGAGGAGAGGGGUCUAGAUUUAGUAGAGUAUUAUUAUUAUUAUUAUUUUGCCAACUUCUAGUCUCUCCUUCAUGUAUUUGACAGCUCCUUAAAGUUUCUGGCUAUAGCCCAGCCCUCCAGCUCCCUGACUGAGAUGGGACCUAUCGGAAGCAUGUUGGUGUUAAAAUCCCAACUUGCCUCCAUUCCUCAAGCCCUGGACUUAAAUUGGGGUCCUCUGGCCCUGUGGAUAGCCUUAACCUCACUACCUAAUUUCCACUCCAGGUUUGAAUUUCUUCUCUGUUUCUGUAUCUAGUGAGUUCCCAUUCUAUCUUCCAAUCCCGGCUUUAAUGUAAUUAUAUUUGCUAUAUGUUGUUCAAUAAUUACAAGUGUUUGGAAUGGGGCCAAGGGCCCUUUCUCAGCAGUUUAGUCUCCAGAUUUUGGUAUAAGUGAAGAUUAGACUUCUCCUGAUCUUCACAUCUUUCAGAAUGCCAUUUCUAAUUUUUUUCAUGAACAGAAUUAACAGAGGAAACCAGAGCCAGUAUCUAAAAUCUCAAAGUCCAUCACUAUAUAGCAGCGCCAGGAUCUAAAAAUCUCAGAGUCCAUUAUAUAUUGUGAUAUAGUCCAUCACAAUAUUUUGGGAAAACAAAAUAAAACAGUCUCCUACCCUAAAAUACUUAGUAUCUUGAAUUAAAACCACCAACCUUAAACCCUGAUGGCAGUGAAACUGCGAAUUUUAAACUUUGCCAAGGAGCUGGGGUUAUUUGUUUUACUGGGAAUAAUCACAACGGGUCAGGUAGUAUUUGUGGAGGGUUCACUUUUGAGUAGGAGUACGGGGGUCACCACAAGAAGUUCUGUCCACAUCAACUCAACCCUUGAAGGACAUGGAGCAUGCAUCAGGAUGCAGAUGUAUGCUUGCCUUUAUGGUGUGCAAGUUCCUAUCAGUGAGCCACACUGUUCUCAGAUCCUCAGUGUCCACAGUGUUUUAGCACGUUUUUUAUUUGGUACCCUGAACUAUAGGACUGGGUACCUUCACGGUAGCUUCAGUCAAGAUGUGAUUGGUGUAGAGGCAUUCACUGACCUGUGUAGGGUUUUCCUGGAUUUGUUUUCCUUUGCAGUUUUGGAUGGCUGGUUCUCUUGGGAUCAGUGAUGACACCAGGCAGUCAGAGUAAGGCUGUGCUCUGGCAGGGACUGAUGAGGCCUGGAGGAGCAGGGAUGUGCACGACUCACAAUAUCUUUUUUCUUUUUCCUUUUUGGCAUUUAAAAAGCAUCAGAUUACAUUGUGAAUAAAUCCAUAUUGGAAGGUUAUUUAAGUCAUUAAGCACCAGUCUGCCAACCACAUAAGCUGUAUAGUAGCCUCUAGCAGGCUGCUUAAAGGAAAGCGGCCUGAAGAUUGAUCCAGGAUGCCAGGACUUGCAUCCUAAAAGUCAGGCUCUUUGUAUUCUUCUGCCUUUACUACUGAGGGAAAGGAGUAGGGGAAACCAAGGUAGAGUUUCACGAACCUCCACUUUCCCCCUCACAUCAGCUCUCAGCACCAAAGAGGCAAGUUAGGAAACAACACAAGUGUCCAUCAACAGACUAAAUGGAUGAACAGAAUGUACUAUAUCCACAUAGCCGAGUUUCAGCCCUAGAGAGGAAGGCAAUUCUGACACAUGCUACAACAUGGAUGAACCUUGAGGACAUUAUGCUAUGGUGAAAUAAACUCAUCACAAACAAACAAAUACUGUAUGAUUCCACUUAUAUAAAAUAUCUAGAACAGGCAAAUUCAUAAAUAUAGAAAGUAGAAGACACCAGGGGCUAGGGGGAGAAGGGAAUGCGGAAUUGUUGUUGAAUGGGUAUAAGGAUUCUGCUUGAGUUGAUGAAAAAGAUCAGGAGAGGGAUGAUGGUGAUGGUUGCACAGCAUUGUGAAUGUAUUUAAUGCUGCUGAACUUAAAGCCACUUAAAGUGGCUUCUGUCUGUAAAACCACAGUUCUUAAAAAGGCAAGUUGAGGGGAUUACCACUUCUGGAAAGAUGGAGUGGAUUCACUUUUCUCUAUUUCUCACUGAGCACAGCUAAAACCCCUGGACAUGCAUGAUAUGUAGAACAAACAGAAGAGUCUAAAAGGUGGAGAAAAGAAAACAAAGCCUCCAGGGACCUUGAGAUCCAAUAAAUGACACAAAUGUGAGUUUCCUCGGUUUUCUUUUUGCUUCAUAUAACCCAGACUGCGUGCUGCAGAAGUCUCCCGCUUGGAAACACACCAAUAAUUGCAGGCAAAAAAAAAAAAAAGGCCCUGAGUAAAAGGCUUGACAUUGAAGGUGCUGGUUUCUUAUUUGUUGAGGGAGGGGAGGAGGUGGAGCUACAAUAGGGUGACUCGAUCUCUAGGCCUAGGGAGUAGCCCCCAGAUCACUGUGGAUGCAAACUUGCUGGAAGGAUCUCAAAGACACCCAUUGACUCCCCUAAAUUUUUCCUUUAUUCAGAUUAUGUAAAACUUUUGUUUUACUCUAUUCAGGUUAAAU